GAUGAACGCUAGCUUCAGGCUUAACACAUGCAAGUCGAGGGGUAACGAGAGGAAAGCUUGCUUUCCUUGUCGACGACCGGCGCACGGGUGAGUAACGCGUAUCCAACCUGCCCCCAACUAGGGAAUAACCUUGCGAAAGUAAGACUAAUACCCUAUAAUUUCCUCAGAUGACAUCUGACGAGGAAUAAAGACUUAUCGGUUGUGGAUGGGGAUGCGUCUGAUUAGCUUGUUGGCGGGGCAACGGCCCACCAAGGCAACGAUCAGUAGGGGUUCUGAGAGGAAGGUCCCCCACAUUGGAACUGAGACACGGUCCAAACUCCUACGGGAGGCAGCAGUGAGGAAUAUUGGUCAAUGGGCGGAAGCCUGAACCAGCCAAGUAGCGUGCAGGAUGACGGCCCUAUGGGUUGUAAACUGCUUUUAUACAGGAAUAAAGUUAGCCACGUGUGGUUAUUUGUAGGUACUGUAUGAAUAAGGACCGGCUAAUUCCGUGCCAGCAGCCGCAGUAAAAC
rnacentral:rRNA from 1 species